rnacentral:sRNA from 1 species
GGUUCAGAGGUUUAGUUCAUUAUCAUCAUGGCAUGAAACAUGUCAGGAUUCAGGUAGGCAUGGCACUGGAGGAGCUGAGAGUUCUACAUCUUGUACAGAAGGCAAACAGAAGAGUGGCUCCCUUAUGGCUAGGAGGAGAAUUUCCAAACCCACUCUCACAGUGAUGCACUUCUUCCAACAGGACCACACCCACACCAACAAGGCCAACACCUCCUAAUUGUUUGGCCAUUCCCUAGGAGAAACAUAUUCAAAUCAACACAGUCAUUAAUGAUCCAGGACAACAUUUCAGUUUGGACAUGAAACAUCCCUUACACGAUCAAAUGUGGAGCACUUGAUCCUCAGCUGGAAGACGUAUGUCACUGGGGCCAUGCAUUUGAAGGUUAUUUCUGACUCAUUCUUUUCUUUUCUCCACUUUCUAUUCACAAUGAAGCAAACAAUAUCUGUACACACUCCCACUGCCAUUAUAUUCCAUUCAUUAUGGGCUCAGAAUCAAUGGAACCAAGGACUACAAACUGAGGUCCCUGAGGACCACAAUAAAGAGUUCCUUUCUUGAAGCUGUUUUCUUUUAGACAUUUGGAUAGAGCCAUUAUAAAACUAACGUGGCACCAUGAAAGGGCACCGUUACUUUUCUCACUACUGUAACAAAACAUCUGACAAAAGCCACUUAAGGCAGGGCGGGUUUGUUUUGGCUCAUUGAAGAUACAACCUAUUGGUGUGAGGAAGGCAAGGCAGCAUAUGCAUGAGGUGACUGGUCACUUUCUGUCUAUAGUUAAGUAGCAGAGAGACAUGAAUGCUAGUACACAUUCAAGCUUUCUCCUUUUAUCAAGUCUAGGAUCUCAGGCUAUGGGAUGGUACUGCCCACAUUCAAGGUUAAUGCUUUCCCUUCUCAGUAAACCUCUGAUGAAACACUAUCAGAGACACAUCCAGAGGUAUGUCUUCUAAAUCUAAUCAACCUGACAAUCAAGCUUAAACAUCACACAUGGAGAUUGCUCUUCACCAUUGUGUGUUAUAGCUGAAACUGGGGUCCCCCCCCCCGGCAACUUCUCUUGUCUUCUCUCUUGGCUAGAAUGAUUAUAAAUCUGGGCUCAUUUGAAAUGCAAAGUCUAGUUAGUGUCACGUGGUGUCUCUACACAUGCUUGUCAACUUUCUUCUGCUGCACAGUGAUCAGACCGCUGGUGAAAACCAGUUAUAGCGCAGCUCAAUCCUAACAUUCAGGGGAAGGCUCUAACCCCAAGUGUUUGUAUAGGGCAUGCAGUCACUGGGGCCAUCUUUAGAGACCCACCACAGUUACAUUCUUUCAUGGUCACAGCGAUCAAAAACAAAUCUUGCAUGCCUUUGUUUAACUUAUGAAGAACUUUCUGAAGUGUUACCACAAUGAGCAUGAUUGACAAACAUGAUUAAUGACUAUGACAGUCAGGGGCAGCCAUAAUGGAAGAAACCAUGGAUGAUCAAUGACCUCUGAGAUGCUGUAAGGCCUGUUGGAGAUAUCUCUUCCCAGGGACAGAGUGACAAAGGCCUUUUGGAAGAAAGGAGCAGGAAGUGGAGAAUGUCUAAGGUGAGAUUAAAACAAAUUCUUUCUUUUCUCCUAUUAAUAAAGCCUAUUCCUGAUAAACCUAGAAGAUGUGUGAUAACAGCUUGGUUGUCUGCUUUACCAUAUCACAGCCCCAACUCUGGCUGCCCAAAGGGUCUUCUAUAACAAAAUGUUGAAACCCAGUGAAAGAAGAGGAGCCUGGUGAUAUGAAGGGAGCUUGAGCAAAAUUUGGAUAGGCUGAUCAUGUGACUUGCUCACAAGAGCAGGAGGCAGCAAAUGGAGACCUUUAAAGAAAACCAUCACUGAAUACAAUGCAGAGAUCAAUGAGUCACGAGGAGUACAGCCCCACGGAUACAUCUAUAUCACAGGCUCAUGGAACAUUGCAGAAAAGUGGGUGGAAAUAGAAUAAGAGCAAGAACACCAGUGAGGUCGCUGUGAAACCGUCUCUCCUAGGAAGGGCUGCAUAAACAACACUGGAAAUAAUAGCAAUAUCAAAGGGCAUGUUAACACGGAAGGCUGAAAUUUCACGUGGUCCUUCUCCUAGACAAAGUACUACAGACAUUAAAACGAUUGCUCAGAAGCAGAGAACGAUUUCCAGGAUGCAGAGUUGGUAAAUCUAGUGCCCAAAACAACACUGACAGACAUUACAGAUCCAAAUGAAAUGCGCUCCAGUUGUAACUACAUUUCAUCAAGGUAAAGAGCACUCAUAUACUGGUAUGGAAAAAUUAGGGGAUUGUCUUUGAGGGUGGCUCAGUUUUCCUGGCCUUGGGUGGGCCUUUGCUUCAGGAGUUGGGGAACUAGAUGCUCACAGUCACACAGAGCUUUCACUGAGUCAGUGACCUUUAGAGUUUUGCCAAUUUGAAGAAUGAAAGUCAUCAACCACAAAGGAGUUCAGAGGGAACUCUUUAUAGAUUCAUAGGUGGGAGCCAAAGAGAGAGAAAGGGCAGCGCUCAUGCAUAGCAGGAGAGGUCCCAAAAAUCAGGACAUGGUAGAAUGGCUAGUCUGGGGUCUUUUUCAGGGCAUAUGACAGAAACUGGGCUGAGUUAUGGGGCUAAGGAUGAGCUAGUCAGUCUAGCUGGCUCCAGGUGUCCAGGUGUCUCUGUUCAGUCUGUCAAGUCUUCCGGUACACCUUCCAGGUAAGGGUGAGAGAUAACAAGAGAACAUAACCCAGAACUCUCUCCUGCCAUUCCUGGCCUCCACCAAGGACAUUCUCAGAACUGCUGCCUUGGGCUCAGCAUCCGACAUGGACGGCUCCUACCUCCAGCCCUCAUCGUAACCAAAGACUUCACCACAGAAUUUCAAAUUAUUGUCUUUAUUAUCUCCACUUUACAGGGUCAUUUGUGUUCCACACUUGUACCUUUGCAGAGAAAAACAAUCAAAAUGGGUGGAAAAUAAAACCGAUUAGGUCUGAGAUGCAUCGCUGUCAGAUUGUUAUUCCUGAACCUGUGCUCAUUGCACUGGGCUCUCACUGAGCACUCACACACUUGCUGACUGGUAAGGACUUGCUCCUCACUCAGUGUCCAUCUCUCGGAUGCCAAGACAAUUGACUUAGUCAGAGUUAGUGUUUUGAUGCCCUGCCACAGAGGCUUUGGAUGUAGCAAGGGCUCAGCAAAUAUUUGUAGAAAGAAUAAAGAAAGAACUGAAUGAAAGCCCAGAUAAAAGAAACAAAUGCUAUCCAGGCCACAGGAGAACCCUGCCUGGUACUCUCCUGGCUUUGCAGUUUCCCAUCAGCUAACCUUGCUUUUCUCUUCCUAUCAGUGCAGUCCCUACCCCAGGGUAUAGUCACACAGAGCUGUCUAGGAUCCCUCGAGAAUGAAGGGAUCUAAUUUUCAAGGUGUCGUUUCUUGCUGCAUCAGAGGCUGAGCAGCUGAUGAAUUCUCCAAGAACAUUUCCUAUUUUCCUUCCUGAGUGCACUGGAGAGGUAAGCUGGGCUGGUCACUCUGUCUUCCUUAUCUGUAAUGGCGUGGUUAAACAUCAUUGGUCUGACCAGUUAAGGAUGAAGGGCAGGCUGUGGAGAGAGAAAGCCUGAUUCAUGAAACACAUCAUUUAUCUUCCCUAACUUCUCCUUACUAGGUGGUAGCAAUGGUUCAGAGAUUAGCAGCUAUUUCCAAGAUAAGUGCUGGUGGAUGCCCCUCCUUAGGAUUUACAUUACCAGAAGGUGGAGGUUUCUGGGCUCUGCUGAGGUCCUUUAAAAGUAAAGUCAUGAUCCUCCGUCUCAAAAGAAUAGACUCUAAAUUCUACCUAUGGCCCUGAUAGUCUAAACUACUCAAAAUGUUACACAUUACUGGCUCCUUUAAGGAGAGUGGCUUUCAAACUUCCUAAGGCUGUGAC